AGGGGCGAGUGGCGUGGUUUGGGCAGGGCGGCGGGUGGACUCGGCGGUGUACGGCGUGAGUGGAUUCGUGCGAGAAGAGCGAUUCUUUUUUUUCUCUGCCGGUGUGCUUCUACUGCUACCACGGAUUCUAUCGGAAGGAGUGCAGACCAAGCCGGGAACCAACGCGGGCGGCUGGAGAACCAACGCCUCGUAUGUCGCUGGGGCCUCAUCGCCGGCUGGAAUCGAGUAUGGACACCUCACCUCGAUCUCAAUCUUCAUGAGCACCCACUGUUCCUGACCUCCACUAGUCGCUGAAAUCAACCAUCGCCUGUGUACACGAGUUUCCCCAAACCUGCAGUUCCCGUCUAAAUUCCAUGACCUCUAGAUGUCCCCCCCCAAAUCUCUGCGCACUCACAUUGCAGCUCAGCACGUAAUUUAUUGGUUUAGUUUUUAUUAGCCAAAUAUUUAUGGAGGUGCGAAUUCGAGUUUGAUUUAUUUCAAUUGCAUAGAGCUGGACUACUACUGAUCCUCACACCGAGCCUGUCAGACUUUGCUGCAUUUUUUUGUUUAGCCUGCACUCAAACCUGGAGUAAUCUUGUAUGGAAUUUUUUUGAUUGCUGAUUCAGGUUAUUGGUUUUUAUUUUUCUGAAACAUAAACGAGAUAAUAAUGUGCUAUUUUGGUGCGUACUCAUGGAAUUGUAGCUUCGUAGAUGCGAAUGUGCUAUUUUUUUGCAGACUAUGCAACAGACUUGGAGACGAAGAGAAAUAAUCUAGAGGUAGAUUCAGUUGCAAGACUUCAUGUUCAUAUCCUCCUUGGCCACCGGAGUAAUGACCUAGAGCCCUGCUCCAGCGCUCCUCGCCACUAGCACUGCUCCGGCCACCCCCACUAUUUUCUUCGUCGCUGGCGUCCGAUGAGCCCCGCAUCCCUUCAUCGUCGACACAAAUAAAUCCCUCCAUCAGCUACUUGGUGGGCUUAGACGGCAAGCUGCGCUGGUGUGCUUCUUUACUGAUUUCAGUGGUAUGCAACCCUUGAUUGGCGCUGGCUGCUCCUUAAUUUCCCCCCGGUAUUCUUCAGCACCGCCCUAUUUCUACUAAUUUGGAUGACUCCCCUAUUUACAUUCUCGUGCGUUUGACGAGGCGCCAAAUCACCAUAGACAUGGCACUGAAAUGUUGGCACAUCAGCAGGAGAGCCUCCAGCUGUUGUUUGAUGGAGUCGAGUGUGAUGUUUGUGUCAAGAAGACCACCACCAAGAUUAGUAGGCGAAAGGAGAACCAGUACAGAGCUGAAGAUCUCUCCUACCUCAUCUUCCAUGAUUUGAACGAUAUAAGGCCUUCACCUGAAGUUCAGGCCCAUGUUAUCCCAUCUGUAAAAAUUGCUUUGAAGUUCCACUUGUGCAUCCUCUCCCAAAAAACAAAGUUGCACUUCUGUAUAUAGCCAAAUAUUUCUAUUCUAGUGCCCACGUACAUGUAAUGUUUUUGCUUAUGAAUGUGUCUUUUUAAUUUUUAUUGGUGUCGUCCAACCAAACAUAUCCUGAAAUGUCUGUGGUGCUUGAAUGAUGCAUGACUUGUAUGCUACCUUCUGUAA